GCCGACGUAGCUCAGUGGUAGAGCAACUGUUUCGUAAACAGUAGGUCUGGGGUUCAAAUCCCCACGUCGGCU
rnacentral:tRNA from 1 species